rnacentral:rRNA from 1 species
GACGAACGCUGGCGGCGUGCUUAACACAUGCAAGUCGAACGGAAAGGCCCUGCUUUUGUGGGGUGCUCGAGUGGCGAACGGGUGAGUAACACGUGAGUAACCUGCCCUUGACUUUGGGAUAACUUCAGGAAACUGGGGCUAAUACCGGAUAGGAGCUCCUGCUGCAUGGUGGGGGCUGGAAAGUUUCGGCGGUUGGGGAUGGACUCGCGGCUUAUCAGCUUGCUGGUGGGGUAGUGGCUUACCAAGGCUUUGACGGGUAGCCGGCCUGAGAGGGUGACCGGCCACAUUGGGACUGAGAUACGGCCCAGACUCCUACGGGAGGCAGCAGUGGGGAAUAUUGCACAAUGGGCGGAAGCCUGAUGCAGCAACGCCGCGUGCGGGAUGACGGCCUUCGGGUUGUAAACCGCUUUCGCCUGUGACGAAGCGUGAGUGACGGUAAUGGGUAAAGAAGCACCGGCUAACUACGUG